CAACAGAUUCAGAUUCCUUUACCAACAGGAUUUCAAAGUGAGAUUCAACAACCAAAUCCCAGUCAGAGAAGAAAAAGACUUUUUCUUCUUCAUUAGUGGUUUUGAACUAUUUAUAACCAAGCAAAGUUUUACUGAAGGCCUUCUGAAAGACCAAGAAAAUGAUACGCAAUGAGUACAUACCAGGAAAACAAAGAAUUAAAGAUAGAAUCAACAUAUUUACAGGUAUUGUGACUCUUGCUAUUAAAUGGACAAAUAAUCUCAAUUACGCUAUUGUUUUCUACACAACACACUCAUAACAAUGCUUUUCAGAGUUUAACUCUCCUGUAUUGCUGAUAGAUCUUUACUUACAUUUUGCAAAGAAUAAAAGAGUAGGAAAAAGCAAACUGUUAAUUGCACUUACAGACUGGCCACUUUGAUAACAUGGUGAAUGUACUGUUACUUAAGCAAUCAGAAGGUUUUGCCUUUCCCCACACUUUCAGCAUGUAUCAGAAUGCACACAGCUGCAUCACAACGCAUCAUGAUUAGACUUCCAGUAUCUAAGUUGCCAAAAGAGAUGAGCUGUAGAGCUGUUUAAACAGUAGCUGUGGAGCUAUUUAAACAGUAGCCCUGACCCUGCUAGUCUUGUCACCUCCAGGCACCACUUUUUAAAAAGAACAUGGCUCUUUUCCCUUAGAGAGAAGCCAGGCUAGAAACUGAGCCCACCACUUGGCUGGCCACAAGGUAUUAUCUGGAAUUCCUUUCUGAACUUGAUGGUAGGCAACCCGACCUCCAAAGUCGGACUUACAAGUUCAGCUUACUGCUCAUGCUCGUGAAGUUUGAUUUAUUUUUACCACAUCCCAACCUACCAAAACAUGGAUUGUUUAUUUGACAGAAAGAAUAAGGCACUUGCUGUCUGUUCCUGUGCUUCUUAGAAGUUGCAAGCAACACCAUCUGGACCAGACUAUUAGCUGGAAGGUUUCCAAAAGGUACUCCAUUCGUUUUCUAGGGAAAGAGGUCUUGAGUCGUGCACAAGAUGUUUUGGCUGUAUGGCAAUCAAUGAAAUAAGAUCUUAUGAAGCCACAAAGUAUUAAAAUAAAUGACAGUACGGUUAAAAAAAAAAUUAAAAAGGCACAAUUUACCUUUUGUCCACUAAAGACAAGGGGACUUUUAUGACUGACACUAUUUUGGCUAAUAUUGUGUGCAUCUUGAAAAUCUCACCCAAAAGACUUUAUUGUAGGCUGUUGACAAAAUGUAGGAUAGAAACAAUAUUUUAAAGCUCAAUUACAUUUUUCCUGCUGCAAACUGGCAAUGGAAACAGGUUUCUUAAUAUGCUCUGGCAGUAGGAAAUCAUGAUCAGAUUUCAACACAUACAAGUGGUUUAAGGCAAAAGGUUUUAAAAGAGGAGAAAUCCUAAGUCAGCAUCUUGCUGCUGUGGUAAUAGAUGCUAUAGAAAAUGCACAGGUUAAGAUUCAAGUUUUUCUUGCUAAAUGAAGAGAGAAAGUAUUCUUUCCCCCUAAUUUUGGAGAUGUAAUACAAACACCAUGUAGUUUAACCCUUACCUAAAAACCCAAGUUUUCUUUUGGGACUCUAUCUCUCUUUGGAAAUCUCAUUUCAGACUCUGGCAUGUUUGGGAGCUGUUUUUCAAUAGGAUUAUACUACAAACAUAGAGUCAAUCCAGACCUAUCUGCAGAGCUGUCCCACAAAACACUCCAGUUCCAAGGAAUGACUCCCCUCUAGCAGCACUGGUUUCCAUAAUAGGAGACAAAAUAUCAGUAACUCUUGUGCUGAAAGUCAACAGCUACAGAAAUAUGAGUUUCUUUGUCACUUUCUAUGUACCCUUUGAGAUGUCAUGGAAAGGGUUCAUCUCUGACAAAGCUGAGAGCUAAGGGAGGUGUGUCACUCUGGCCAUGCCUAUAAAACUCCAGAUAUUUUGGUUUGUGGUUUUUUUUUUCUUCUUGCUUUUGAACCUGGGGGAGGGGGGAAAAGGUUCAGUGACAGCUGGUAUGUUUCUCUUUACCAUUGUCUACAGAGGAAAUAAAGGAAAAAAUUCCCUCAGGUUUUGUAAGAAUUAAUUACAGAAGAAAACUGGUUUGCUUUCUCUUAUGAGAAAAGCAUAAGAAUUAUAAAUCAGAAGAUAAUUGUGUGGAUUUAUGCAGCAAAAAUAUUAUAUGAAACAGUCCUGAUGAAUGUACAGGUGUUGUAGAGAUAUCUGAAUAUUCUUGCUAUGGAACUGAUCCUCAGUUCUGGACUGCCAGAUGAUUCAAGUCUGGCAGAAGUUUCAUCAAUUUCCUUGAAGAAAGAAAUCAAAAUCACCAUGUCUGGUGCUUGGCAUGUGGGUCUUCUAGCUUUAGGAAGCAGUGGCACCAAUCAAUUUUACCUCAACUAUUAGUAUGCAACUCAGUCUAAAUCCCAAAUACAAAUGAUGGCAUUAAAAACAAAGGCAUUAAUGAAGGUAUUAAAACAAAAAAAAACCACCACGAUGAAAAAAAACAAACUAAACAAAACCCACCAAAACAAAGCCUGAGUUCAUAGUAAGACAAUACUAAUGUGGAAAAUCCAAACCAUUAGAAAUCAGGAGAUACCAGGAUUUAGCUUGCAUGUCAUCUUGCUUCAGUCUGGUGCGUUUGGAUACAGCCUUUCAUUUUGUGACCUCGUGCUACUCUUCCAUGCUGUAGUGUCCAGGAGGUUGGUUUUAUACCAAGUUUGUUAUGUGCAAUGUACACAUAUUGCAUCUUCAUGUUCUACAUAUUUAAUAGCAGUUCUCAUCUUCUAAGACAUACUCAUAGCUGAGUUGUUCAUUAAGCAAUUUUUAAAGAGUUUUAUGGUCCUGUGAACAAUAAUUUUUUGUGGAAGCAGACUAAAUUGUACGCUGUGAUAAUUACACCAAACUAAUUGUAGGCAAAAUUAGCGAGGGGUUGGACCAAUUCAAUUCCACAAGGAAAUAUAUGCUAUGCUUACACCUUAAAUGAUCUUUAGAAAAUUAAUCACAUAAAACUGAAUCUCCUUAAAUCAACACAUAUAAUUUUCUGUACCUUUGCUGUGAAACAGGAAGUUUUAACUUCGCUUUGAAAAAUGCAACUUGCUAAAUGUUUUUUUGAUUAUCAUUUCUGUUUAAAUUACCAAUUAACUUUACCCUAGAGAAUCAAACAACGUGAGUCUUUUAUGCUGUACGGGUACAUUAUAACCAUACCCAAACAUGAUGUGUCAGGAAGAAACAUCAAUAAUACAAGUACGUUUUUUAAAUCUCUUUUAGUGCCAGCUAUAAUAUCAGCCCAAUAAUUGUCUCUAAUAUCAUGAUACUCACAUAUAAUUUCUUUAAAUUUCCUGUCUCCAGACAAUGUAAAGUCCAUUGUGGAGCUCUUACACAGAAGACUUCGGUGUUUCAAGUAUGUUAUUCAGGUGGUUCUGGAGAGUUGUUGCUGCCAUUUCAGUCACCAUUGGUACAGCCUGACUCCCAGGCUGUCCUCCAGAGGCUCAGUGCAUCUCUAAGACUGACCUCACAUCCAAGCAGGUGGACUGUGCCCUCAAUGGGCAAAUUUCACACAUAACGAGCAAUAUGCUCCUCAUUUUCCUUGUUUGAGAUUGUUUCUGGUACUAGCCUCAUACACAUUUGUACGAAUUUGAAAGUUUUAUCAUGUAUAAAUGGUAUUUUAUGACUUUACAGAAUAACACUUUGUACAGUCAGUCACAUAAUUUAUAUUAGUCGUUGCUAAAGAGCUAGAAAACUACUCAACAACUGACUAUUCAAUUAUUUCAAUAGAAAAAAGGGAACUGAAAUUCUUACAAAAUAACAAUUGUUUAUUUCCUAGUAAAAUAUUACUCCACCAAAAAAAAUCAUAAAUAUAUUGUUUCUUCAGCAAACUUACUUUGAUGCAAAUAGUUGUAGAUUUUGUAGCAUGUGAAACAUUGAGUAGCACAUGUGAUACUAACACUCACUAAUUGUAAUACUUAGAAUGUGCUGGAAUGACUUGAAACAACUUUGCCAAAACAAAACAGUUGAAGCCAAUUAUUUUGAUGCAGUGUUCUAACAACAUGUUAGCUGAAUCUAAGUUUUUCCCUUAACAAAACUAGAUAUUUGAAUUUUUCAGUACAAAAAAUUAUUCCGUAAGGUGCUUUUGAUCAGCUGCAGCAAACACCAGAUUUUCCCUCAAUUAUUUGAAAGGUACUUCCUUUUUUACCUCAAGGACUUAGAAGAUUAAUAUAGCAGAGUUUGCAUUUUUUGCUGGCCAUAAAGUAUUUUUUGCAUCUACAGAGUGAUUUAACACUGUCUGCAAGUAAAAGUACCAAAAAUAUUGUGUUUACAGUGACCUUGCUAAGUAUUAAAUGGUUCUUGUCUAUUUCAUCACUUUUCAGUGAUUUUGGAGCUAAAGCUUUUUUACCAUUCAUAAAGAAGCCAGAUUUUUUUACUGCAAAAUGUACCAAAGCCAAUCCAAUUUACAUUGGCUUUCACUGUUUUAUGGAUGCUUGCAUGCCAAUUUAUAAAGAUUCCUGAUGAAGACAAUAGCUGGUUUGUAGGAUGCUGGAAUGGCAGUCAAGAAAAUUUACAUGACCUUGAGUCCACUGCCUGCUGAGGGUGUUUUCCUUCCCCAUAUCCCAAGAAGCCAAAGGCUCUUUUUAAUGAAUACCUCUGGAAGGUGCUAUUUAACAUUUGUGACUGUCAGUGAGGUAUACUAGAGACUCAGAACAGCUCUGUCAACAGAACCGUCCUGGUAAAGGAGUCACACAGCUGGGAGACAGCAGAACCCUGUAACAAAGCAGAAAUGGGUGGAAUUAUUUUGCAUUGUGGCAAAAAGCAGGUACCUCCUCACUGGAAAGGUCUGAGCCCUGGAAAGGAUGAAAACAAUUUAACACUCCUGCUUAUUAAGGUCCACACACUCAUAACAUGGAUAACACAUUACAUCAGCUUGAAAUAAAAAUGAAUCAUGGGCAAGGAACGUAUAGAGACAGAUCCUGCACAUCAAAACAUGCCAUUUAAAGUUUAAGGAGCAAAGAUGAUGCCACAAAGACACAAAGCAUUUAUAAAAUCUUUAAACAUUAGCUUCAGCAAAGUAGCUACAAGAAAUGCCCUCAGAGAUAGAAUAUCUAAGAAAAAUAGUACUGGCAUCUAAUUACAGCAGUAGAGUUUGCUGCUUUUAUCUGUAAUUGGACUGUAUAGUCUUUCAUUCUAAUUUACUUUACAUCCAAACUGUGAUAAUCAAGACAAGCAGAACAGAAUGGCUUGUAACUGGCUAUACCACCGACACCAGUUAAUGCCUAAUUAUAACAACUAAAUUAAAGAGGGGACUGUAAGGAGGUUGAGUAUCAGUUUGAAGCAUUUAAUUCUGUGGAAAGAAAUAGAGAUUUUAAAUCCUAAGUAAAAAAAUCAAUAUUAUGGCUCAUUAUAUUGGUAUUGCUAAACAGAUUAAUGAAAUUAAGUAUUUUGUUUUUUAAAGAAAAGUUUUAUCAUGAUGUAAAGAUAGCUUUUAAUGAAAGACCACAGUAGAGAAGGAAAUUCACAUCCCAGACCAAUUUAUAAACCAAUCUAAUCUGGAAAAAAACAGUAGGUAAAAUUGACUUUCCUAGGAUAUCUCUAAGAGGUGCAGAACAUGUUACAUGGUGGUAGAAUAACUGCAGCAUUCUGAAAAAGUAUACACACAGUACAAAACAGCAAGAAAACCCAGGAUCCCAGGAAACCUUCUGACAUAAAUGUAAUUUUUAGUUAGAUUUUUUUGAAUGCUCUAAAUACAAAUUAAUUACCUUUGAAAGACAGGUUAACCAAAAUGAAUAUUAUUUUCUUCCAGAAUCCAUGCAAGUAAAGAAAGGGAAACAGAAUGCUCAGCACUGGUGAGCCAUUGCUUGCAUAAAUUCUAAACACACUGUUUUAGGAAUUACAACAUAAAUUGGUCAUCUACAUGUUGAACUGACUGCAUAAGAAUUCAUCUUCUGGGAUUUGAAAUAGGAGCAAAGGGAAUAAAAAUGGUUGCUGUUAACGAUCUUGCUAAAUUGACCUAUAAUAUUCCAGUGGUAGGUGGAUAAAGAACUAGUUGGCAUUCAUGGGGCAUGUAGCAUAAUUUGGUCCAUUCAGAAUCUUCGAUAGAAAGCAGUAGAAAAUAUUGAGAAAAAUUAAAAUAUUCACAUUGUUAAGCUUAUAAACUCAAUGGAAGUAGAAUCUGCUUUCACAUGACACUCAUAAUUAUCCUGAGUCUUCAUCAUCUGUAGGUGAACCCAAAGCUGGUGAUUCUAAAGUUCUAAAACACUUAAAGACUAAAUAUGUUCAUCAGUUGGCUCAUCUGAUGAGUCCCUUCUCUCUAGCAGAAUCCACAGUGGGGAGGGGGCACAGUGAUCACUUUUUUAUCAGAUGUAAAAUGAGAAUAAAGGAAACUUCUUUCUAAAGUUUUAGAAAUAUUUCAGUACUUCCUAAACUCACCAAGGCAGAAAACUCCUUCCUUACAAAAGCAAGGCUUCUACAACUACCUCUGCCCAUCUUUGACAUGGCACUGACCACUGCACCUCUGGCCUCUUCCAACCAAAUCUGUAAAGUGCUAGAAGCCCUUCUCAUUUCAGCUUUCACAGAGAUGAAAUUCAGCAUGUUUUAAGGGGAGACUGACUUCUCUGGGUAUCCUCAUGAAUCUGAGGUAAUUUUAGCUGGCAAAUCAACCCACAUGUCAGACAACAAUUUGUGAGCCAUUCCAGAUUGCUCCUGGCUUUGUCUCCUGGAGGUUCCCACAGGGCUGACUGCCAGGACAGGCACAACACAUAUUUUGUGAACGGGGCAGGAUACCUGGGGCUCCCAUGGCCACUCAUUUGGCACAGAGGUGCUAUCUGACUGGAGAAGGAUAUGCACCCCUGAAAUAAAAUGCAUUAUAAAGUAAACGAUUUCACAGGCCAGAAAAUUAAAUGUUCUUCACAUUGUAAUUUCUGCUGAUUAGGGAACUGAACAAAUGUAAAGCAUAUGAUCUUCAAGACUCCUUCAGCUUGCUGAAUCUUGCUUUAAACAGAGGAGCAAAAGAUGAGGCUCAGAUUUCUAUUAUUUUGAUUACUAAAAGUUAUAUGAGGUCUUUCCAUUAUCUCCUUUUUUGUUGAAUUGUACAUAAAUCACAGAAGUGAAGCAGAAUUCACAGAAUUGUACAUACUUGUGAAGUAUGAAUGACAAAAAAUAUGGAUACUCUAAAUCUGUCCAUCCCAGUUCUGAAACAUGGCCUGUACUUUCAAAUUGGAAUAAUCUCUAUCGCAUUUAAUUAUUAUCAACACAGGAAAAAGAACAUUCACAGUGAUGUUAUAAGAACCUGUUGAAUGCCUAGUUUUGGUGCUGCGGUAGGAAGAGUGAACAUUCAAAGUUAUAUAUCAGUAUGUUAAAAACUAAAGGGAAAAAUCUUCUGCUAUGAAGUUAGACAUUCUUUUUUCCUCCUCUGCCCUCCCAAUUUCACUUUUGACUGCACCUGCAGAAUUCUGUAUCAAGCACAGAUGAAAAGACUGAAUGGAAUUCCAUUGAAAUUUAUUAAUGAAGAUUGUUCCCAGGUGAAUGGUAAUAUUAUCCAUCUUUUACAGGUAGGCAGGUACAACAGUUUAAAUUACUCAGAAAGAGUAGUUUAAAGACUUUUCUGGAUUAAAGGUUUAUUAGAUUAUGAUAUAGACCUGGAUAUAAGUGCCAAGCAUUUCACACACCUGAAAAAGCACAUGUUUAAGUACUUCCAUAAAUUUGGUAAGCAACUUCCUUUCCUUUGUCUCCAAACAAAACAAAAAGGAUUCUCCACUGAGUUCUGAAGAGCCAAGACAUUUGUACCAACACUUUCACUCUUUAACGAGCUCGUAAACAUGCCCACCAUUACAUCCUUACUUUGAAGAUAAAGAUUUCCUUGAGAGGAACGGAAACAGUCUGAAAUAGAGGAUUCCUUCCAAGUGUCCAGAAAUAUAUUUGAAACUUAAAUCAGCCAAAGACAAAAGUGUUUCUAGCAGAAGGUGAACCAUCAAUGACAUUUCCUGAAUCAUCGCACUUGUUCUCCUGCUGUAAGAUUGAAACUCCAAGUGCCUGAACCUCACAAAUCCUCUGGUCAUUUAAACCCAGAGCCCUAAUCCAGGACCAGAAUAUUAAUGAAAGGGAGUAGUUUUUUUCUGUUUGAAAACAAAGCAAAAAUGUGCUACAUGACCACCUUUGAAGAUUCAACCUUUUAAAACCUACAAUGUGGAAAAAACACAUGCUACAUAGCAGAGGACUGUGGUGGUUAGUGGGCAUCUCUUCGAACAUGUGAAAAGGGCUGAAGUCCUGCAAACAGACUUUAAAUUAUGAACAAUCUGCCUCUUCAAUACCCAAGGUAAUGAAACAUCUAAGGAAUUCAAACAAUUAGUACAGAUGGGAAAAAACCAGUCAGUCAUUUUCUUUCUCAUUACUGCUUCAGCAUGGAUCAGAAAAGUGUGGAAAGAACAAAGUCACAUCACCAUUUUUCUCCCUACAUAUUGUAAAUAAAUGUAUGUCAUUUGGCCCAAAUAUUAAUACUACCCAAACCUUACUAUCAUCCAGAUGCUAACUAUUCAUUUAAUACCACUAACAUGUGAAACAAAUACAGGUUGAAAGCACUAAAAACUUCAUCAUUUGUUUUCAGUUAAACUUCUGACAAACAAGUUACCAAUAUUUGCUUCUUCAGACUUUUUUUCACCAAGCAUUAUGAGGAUGAAUUGAGAUACACUUGUUGUGGGCCUAACAGACCAGUUUGAGACAGUCUUCCACCCACCUCCUUUGUGACAAGAAAGAGAUGGAAACAUGCUUUGGAAGUUUUACAGUGCCUGUCUUUUGUCACUGGGAAAUGCAAAGACCUUCCAGCACUCAGUAGUUGUGUGACUGCAUGUAGAUAUGUGCAAGCACCAGAAACUAUAUAAAAGAAUGCAAAUUGAGUGCUUGCAUAAAUGAAAACUUCCUAUUUUCCUCUGUUAUCAAUAUAUUAUCCUUAAAAUAAUUGAUCAUCAGAUAAACUUCAGAAUUAACAGAACUUGAUAAAUAAACUGUUUUCAGACCAUCGUACAUUAUUGCUGUUGACAAGCAAUCCUCAUUUAAACAAAACUGAGCUGCUGUGGGCAGUAAAACACAAGGUGUAAUGAAGAAGAAAAAUAUUUACUAUGUUAUAUUGCAAAGGAUAUACCUGCAAGUUCAAAUCUUAGGUAAAACGCACAUAUACAUACAGUGUUCUACAAGGAUUCACUUUUUGAGGUCUUGCAGAUAUAUUGGUGUCCCAAGUGCCAAAGUGAUCCUGUUCAGCCCUAGGACUGCCCUGCUCAGCAACCCAUCAGUUAAGGCUUUGUUCCUCAGUGGGGAGCCCUGUCUAGACAGGAAUGAGAAAUAAAAGCAGUUUCAGCUGCAUAAUGCUGGUGGAUCUCAACACCUUCCACACAGACACCUGCUAUGGCAACAUUUAAGGACCAAAGUCUCUGCAAGCCUCAGGAAUCUCUGCCUAUUUCUGCACAUGCAGCCUUGAGGAGGACACUGCUACAGCCAGCUCUGUUCAGGCUCUCCCAGGCUUCCAACAGGCUCCUCAGUUCAUGCCAGGGCAGCACAGCCCAGCCCCCUGAGCCUCUCUGGCUCCCGAGGCAGUCCAAAGCACCCUCCUGAGGGCUGGGCACAGCUGAACUGCACGAGAUACCGUUCAGGAUUAAAGGCUCUCUGCUUCUGCUGUAACCUGCAGAGCAAUUUCACACUCGGGUUAACAUGUAAGACUACACCAGAUAUUUUAGCAAGGACCCCAGGUACAAGAGCCAGAGGUUUCCAGGGCUGUUUGAAAAUGCAGCACCAGUGCAUUGCACCUCUGGAACUGCUGGAAAAGAGGGAGGGUUCUUCAUGGCAGCUGCUGCACGUGGAAGAGGCAAAAUUGGUACAACAUAAAUGGACUUUGUAAAGGAGCUUCUGGCAGUCACAGCACCACAGAGCAGCGAGAGGCUGCAGAAGGAACCUUCCAGAAUGCUCACAACUUCACUCGCCUUCACUCAUUGUAGGAAUUUUUCUGUAGCUUUAGAAACACAAAUCCACCUGUCUGACAUGCCAGACAAUGCCACCGUCCAACACUUUUCCCAAGAGUUUUUUAUAUCUGAUGUACCUGUAAAAAGAUUUCCCAAGCAGAUGUCAGUUUGGAUUAACUUUAUAUUGCAGAGGGAAUGCCAGAUACUUCCAAGUGUCAACUUUUUUCUUUUUUGACUUUUAUUUUUUGCCUUUUGCCUCCUUUUUUCACAUGCUUGAAGAAAAUAAAUUGUAAUAUCUCAGUUUAUGCAUCAAAUGCAGUUUUGUCAAGAUCUUUUGCUAUGUCUUUUGACUUCCUUAUUUCAAAUUAAACAACAAAAAUGUCAAUACUUUCAAAUUUCAUGAACCAUGCAGCAACUUUUGGGAAAAGUAUGUCAGUGAAAGUAAUGCCGGUAAUUUAAACCUGCAACAUCCAAAUGGUGGCUGGAAGUAACUAUAUUAGAACCUACCACAUCUAACUCUGCUUGCCAAAACACGUCUGGUUUGACAACCACAAAACUCUGCCUUCUUGGAAAUCAGCUGACAUUAUUAUCACCAUUUCACGUAACUCACCUUCAGCAGGGAAAUGUCUUUACUUGAACUGUUGUGAUUUCUUCUGUACUCACUGGAAACAAGAAAGUAAAUAUUAAAUUGUUGCUGACGUCA